UUUGGUGAUGAUGGCGGAAGGGAACCACGCGUACCCAUCCCGAACACGAACGUUAAGCCUUCCAGCGUCGAUGGUACUUGGACCGCAGGGUCC
rnacentral:rRNA from 1 species